AGAGUUUGAUCUUGGCUCAGAUUGAACGCUGGCGGUAUGCUUUACACAUGCAAGUCGAGCGGCAGCAUGGCAGUAGUAAUACUGCUGAUGGCGAGCGGCGGACGGGUGAGUAAUACAUCGAAACGUACCUUAUAAUGGGGGAUAACUAGCCGAAAGGUUAGCUAAUACCGCAUAAGCUCCGAGGAGGAAAGCUGGGGACUAGGAAACUGGCCUGGCGUUAUAAGAGCGGUCGAUGCUCGAUUAGCUUGUUGGUAGGGUAAAGGCCUACCAAGGCAAUGAUCGAUAGCUGUUCUGAGAGGAAGAUCAGCCACACUGGGACUGAGACACGGCCCAGACUCCUACGGGAGGCAGCAGUGGGGAAUUUUGGACAAUGGGGGAAACCCUGAUCCAGCAAUACCGCGUGAAUGAAGAAGGCCCUAGGGUUGUAAAGUUCUUUUGUCUAGGAGCAAAAGCUUUUUGUUAAUAGCAGAAAGUGAUGAGAGUACUAGAAGAAUAAGCACCGGCUAACUACGUGCCAGCAGCCGCGGUAAUACGUAGGGUGCAAGCGUUAAUCGGAAUUACUGGGCGUAAAGGGUGCGUAGGCGGAUAUGCAAGUUAGAUGUGAAAUACCUAAGCUCAACUUAGGAACUGCAUUUAAUACUGCAUGUCUAGAGUUUAUUAGAGGGGGGUAGAAUUCCAAGUGUAGUAGUGAAAUGCGUAGAUAUUUGGAGGAAUACCGAUGGCGAAGGCAGCCCCCUGGGAUAAAACUGACGCUGAUGCACGAAAGCGUGGGGAGCAAACAGGAUUAGAUACCCUGGUAGUCCACGCCCUAAACGAUGUCUACUUGCCGUCGGAAUCUUUAGAAUUCGGUGGUGGAGCUAACGUGUUAAGUAGACCGCCUGGGGAGUACGGUCGCAAGAUUAAAACUCAAAGGAAUUGACGGGGACCCGCACAAGCGGUGGAUGAUGCGGAUUAAUUCGAUGUUACACGAAAAACCUUACCUGCUCUUGACAUGUUAGGAACUUCGUAGAGAUAUGAAGGUGCCGCAAGGAACCUAAACACAGGUGCUGCAUGGCUGUCGUCAGCUCGUGUCGUGAGAUGUUGUCUUAAGUGACGCAACGAGCGCAACCCUUACUACUAGUUGCCAUAAUUAAGUUUGGAACUCUAGUGGGACUGCCAGCGUAAGCUGGAGGAAGGUGGGGAUGACGUCAAGUCCUCAUGGCCUUUAUGAGCAGGGCUUCACGCGUCAUACAAUGGUAGGUACAAACGGUCGCCAAACCGCAAGGUGGAGCUAAUCCGAGAAAACCUAUCUCAGUCCGGAUUGUAGUCUGCAACUCGACUACAUGAAGUCGGAAUCGCUAGUAAUCGCAGAUCAGCAUGUUGCGGUGAAUACGUUCUCGGGUCUUGUACACACCGCCCGUCACACCAUGGGAGUGGGGGAUACCAGAAGUUGUUAGGCUAACCGCAAGGAGGCCGAUUACCACGGUAUGUUUCAUGACUGGGGUGAAGUCGGAACAAGGUA
rnacentral:rRNA from 1 species